ACGUAAGGUAGAGGAGCGUUUGGUAAAGAUUACUUUUUUGAGCGGGAGCUGUGAAGAAAAGGAAAGGUGCCAAACGCCGAAAGCAUAUUAUUGCCAAAUAAUAUGCUUGGGUACAGGGAUAAUAUCUUUGUAACUGUCACAGAUGUGGAGCGCUACUGAAAAU
rfam:Atopobium vaginae DSM 15829 Contig31.fasta, whole genome shotgun sequence.